rnacentral:tRNA from 1 species
AGUCCCGUAGUGAAGAUGGUUAUCAUACCUGCCUGUCACGCAGGAGUCACGGGUUCGAAUCCCGUCGGGACUGCCA